GACAGAGGGGGCAAGCGUUGCUCGGAAUCACUGGGCGUAAAGGGCGCGUAGGCGGGAUGGCAAGUCAGUCGUGAAAUCUCUCGGCUCAACCGAGAAACGGCGGCUGAUACUGCCGUUCUUGAGGGAUGCAGAGGAGACUGGAAUUCCCGGUGUAGCGGUGAAAUGUGUAGAGAUCGGGAGGAACACCGGUGGCGAAGGCGGGUCUCUGGGCAUCUCCUGACGCUGAGGCGCGAAAGCGUGGGGAGCAAACGGG
rnacentral:rRNA from 1 species